rnacentral:rRNA from 1 species
GGAGAAAAGCAGGGGAUCGCAAGACCUUGCGCUCAUUGAGCGGCCGAUGCCUGAUUAGCUAGUUGGUGAGGUAAAGGCUUACCAAGGCGACGAUCAGUAGCUGGUCUGAGAGGACGACCAGCCACACUGGGACUGAGACACGGCCCAGACUCCUACGGGAGGCAGCAGUGGGGAAUUUUGGACAAUGGGGGAAACCCUGAUCCAGCCAUGCCGCGUGAGUGAAGAAGGCCUUCGGGUUGUAAAGCUCUUUCAGCCGGAACGAAACGGUCACGGCUAAUACCUGUGACUACUGACGGUACCGGAAGAAGAAGCACCGGCUAACUACGUGCCAGCAGCCGCGGUAAUACGUAGGGUGCGAGCGUUAAUCGGAAUUACUGGGCGUAAAGCGUGCGCAGGCGGUUUUGUAAGUCAGAUGAGGAAUCCCUGGGCUUAACCUGGGAACUGCGUUUAAUUAACGAGGCUAGAAGGGC